rnacentral:lncRNA from 1 species
GGCUGAUCUGAAGAGUCCCAUUGGAUUGGGACGCUGGUAAAGAGUCCCACUGGACUGAGACUCUAUCAUUAAUAUAAGAUUAAUUAGUAAUUAAAUUAUUAAUUAACUCAAUUUGGUUGAGCAUUAAAGUCUGGGUCAAGUUUGAUUGAAUUGGAUUCAAUCAGGUCAGGUCUGAUUAGGUUAUAAGAUGACCUAAUAG